UGACGCUGCCGAUUCUCCAGU
rnacentral:piRNA from 1 species